AGUUGAUCCUGGCUCAGGACGAACGCUGGCGGCAUGCCUAAUACAUGCAAGUCGAGCGAACAGAUGAAGUGCUUGCACUUCUGACGUUAGCGGCGAACGGGUGAGUAACACGUAAGGAAUCUACCUAUAAGCGGGGGAUAACAUUCGGAAACGGGUGCUAAUACCGCAUAAUAUCUUCUUCCGCAUGGAAGAAGGUUGAAAGACGGCUCUGCUGUCACUUAUAGAUGACCUUGCGGUGCAUUAGUUAGUUGGUGGGGUAACGGCCUACCAAGACGAUGAUGCAUAGCCGACCUGAGAGGGUGAUCGGCCACAUUGGGACUGAGACACGGCCCAAACUCCUACGGGAGGCAGCAGUAGGGAAUCUUCCGCAAUGGGCGAAAGCCUGACGGAGCAACGCCGCGUGUGCGAAGAAGGUCUUCGGAUCGUAAAGCACUGUUGUUAAGGAAGAACGACAGUAAGAGUAACUGCUUACUGUGUGACGGUACUUAACCAGAAAGCCACNGNUAACUACGUGCCA
rnacentral:rRNA from 1 species